UUUCAGAAAAAGGGACCCUGCCAUCACAAACAUUCUUAGAUGGCUUGAUGCUCAUGAUUCCAACCAGAAUAAGCGAACAACAGUCCUGCUUGGCAUGCCCCACUGUCUUUGUCAAGAUACUUCCAGCAUUCUAAAGACCUGUGAGCCAACUGGUCCAGUUGAAGAUGUCUUAAAAGAAACCAGUGUGGGGAUCCUGAUCGUGUAUGAGGACUGCAGCAAAUGCGUGGUUCUACAAAAUCAAUGACAUAUGUCUUGUUUUGGAGGAACAGUUUAUCGUCAUGGACAUUUCCAAUAUUCCAAAGGCCUUUGAACUCUUUGGACUGAUGGGUCUCAAUAUGGACUACCCGAAGCAUCUAAAAUUCACGUUUGAAGUACUACAAAAGCUGUUCUUGA